AUUGAACGCUUGCUUCCUUCCUCCCACCUCCACGUCGAUCGUAUGAAGGGAGCUUGCUCCUUUAUUCAGCGGCGGACGGGUGAGUAAUGCCUAGGAAUCUGCCUGGUAGUGGGGGAUAACGUCCGGAAACGGGCGCUAAUACCGCAUACGUCCUGAGGGAGAAAGUGGGGGAUCUUCGGACCUCACGCUAUCAGAUGAGCCUAGGUCGGAUUAGCUAGUUGGUGGGGUAAAGGCCUACCAAGGCGACGAUCCGUAACUGUUCUGAGAGGAUGAUCAGUCACACUGGAACUGAGACACGGUCCAGACUCCUACGGGAGGCAGCAGUGGGGAAUAUUGGACACUGGGCGAAAGCCUAAUCCAGCCAUGCCGCGUGUGUGAAGAAGGUCUUCGGAUUGUAAAGAAAUGGAAGUUGGGAGGAAGGGCAGUAAGUUAAUACAUUGCUGUUUUGACGUUACCAACAGAAUAAGCCAAGGCUAAAUUCGAG
rnacentral:rRNA from 1 species